rfam:Oryza rufipogon genomic scaffold, chr11
AAAAAGGCAAACUCUGGCUUUCCGUGUCUAACUUUAACUGUCCGUCUUAUAUGAUUUUUUUUAUAAUUUGUAUUUUCAUUGUUAUUAGAUGAUAAAACAUGAUUAAUAUUUUAUGCGUGACUUGUCUUUUUAUUUUUUUUUUAUAAUUUUUUCAAAUAAGACGGACGGUCAAACGUUGGACAUGGAAAUCAGGGUUUGUCUUUUU